GAUGAACGCUGGCGGCGUGCCUAAUACAUGCAAGUAGAACGCUGAAGGAGGAGCUUGCUCUUCUGGAUGAGUUGCGAACGGGUGAGUAACGCGUAGGUAACCUGCCUGGUAGCGGGGGAUAACUAUUGGAAACGAUAGCUAAUACCGCAUGACAACAGUUAUUGCAUGAUAACUGUUUAAAAGGGGCAACUGCUCCACUACCAGAUGGACCUGCGUUGUAUUAGCUAGUUGGUGAGGUAACGGCUCACCAAGGCGACGAUACAUAGCCGACCUGAGAGGGUGAUCGGCCACACUGGGACUGAGACACGGCCCAGACGCCUACGGGAGGCAGCAGUAGGGAAUCUUCGGCAAUGGACGGAAGUCUGACCGAGCAACGCCGCGUGAGUGAAGAAGGGUUUCGGAUCGUAAAGCUCGGUUGUAAGAGAAGAACGAGUGUGAGAGUGGAAAGUUCACACUGUGACGGUAGCUUACCAGAAAGGGACGGCUAACUACGUG
rnacentral:rRNA from 1 species